rnacentral:rRNA from 1 species
UGGGGAAUAUUGCACAAUGGGGGAAACCCUGAUGCAGCGACGCCGCGUGAACGAAGAAGGUAUUCGUAUCGUAAAGUUCUGUCCUAUGGGAAGAUAAUGACAGUACCAUAGAAGAAAGCUCCGGCUAAAUACGUGCCAGCAGCCGCGGUAAUACGUAUGGAGCGAGCGUUGUCCGGAAUUAUUGGGCGUAAAGGGUACGCAGGCGGUUUAAUAAGUCGAAUGUUAAAGAUCGGGGGUCAACCCCGUAAAGCAUUGGAAACUGAUAAACUUGAGUAGUGGAGAGGAAAGUGGAAUUCCUAGUGUAGUGGUGAAAUACGUAGAUAUUAGGAGGAAUACCAGUAGCGAAGGCGACUUUCUGGACACAAACUGACGCUGAGGUACGAAAGCGUGGGGAGCAAACAGG